rnacentral:lncRNA from 1 species
GAAUGGUUUUUCAAAAUUUUAUCUUCUCUUCUUUCCUCAUGCUUGCACCACCCCCAAUUCCACCCUAGGUUACUACUACUGACCCCCUGCAUUGUUCCAGUCCCCUCCAGAAGGCAGUUUCACCCACUUUAGGAACCUAUGGUAUACACCUAUAGCCACUCACCUUUGCAAAUGAAAGGAGGUCUGCAAUUUAAUUGGAUUUGUCCAGGAAAAUCAAGCUACAAGAAGAAGCUCCAUAAUAAAAUAAUCAGGCUUUUUUACCUUUUCCUAUUCCUCCUCUUUCUCUGCCCCCUUCCCCAAACUGCCAGGCUGUUAUCUCCCUUUAGAUCCCUGUGUGGGAUGUGACUAAGUUUCAAAAUAAGGGAGGGGGGAACUACCUUUAAAGGAAUGGGCUUGGUGGGGGAAAGAUGGAGGAAAUUGGGGGUGGAGAUGGGCAGAGGAACAAGGGAGAAGUGGAUGUAACUGUGGAAUGUAGCUAAUAUCACAGCUGCUGUCACCAAGGUGGUGGGGGUGGCUUUCCUCUCCUCCUCCUCCUCUUCUUCGCUUCCUUCUCCUCCCCCCUCCCCUCUAAGUCCCAGGCAGCAGCAGCGGUCCAACCACCACCAAAGAAGCUGCCGGCUGUAUAAGCAGCACUCUUUGUCUCCUGAUCCUGGACAAUCCCCACUCCCCCUCCCUCCUUCGGUGAUAUCCUGCAGAUGUAAGUCUCAUUUACCCUGGGCUAGGGUUUGAGGACUGUAUGGGAAGUAGGGGCAGGACACAGGCACUUUAAAUUGGACCCCAGCCCCCAUCCAUCUGCUGCUCCAUCUUGUCCCCCAAGCCCUACAAGUGGGUCUAUGGGUG